GAUGAACGCUGGCGGCGUGCCUAAUACAUGCAAGUCGAGCGAACGGACGAGAAGCUUGCUUCUCUGAUGUUAGCGGCGGACGGGUGAGUAACACGUGGAUAACCUACCUAUAAGACUGGGAUAACUUCGGGAAACCGGAGCUAAUACCGGAUAAUAUUUUGAACCGCAUGGUUCAAAAGUGAAAGACGGUCUUGCUGUCACUUAUAGAUGGAUCCGCGCUGCAUUAGCUAGUUGGUAAGGUAACGGCUUACCAAGGCAACGAUGCAUAGCCGACCUGAGAGGGUGAUCGGCCACACUGGAACUGAGACACGGUCCAGACUCCUACGGGAGGCAGCAGUAGGGAAUCUUCCGCAAUGGGCGAAAGCCUGACGGAGCAACGCCGCGUGAGUGAUGAAGGUCUUCGGAUCGUAGAACUCUGUUAUUAGGGAAGAACAUAUGUGUAAGUAACUGUGCACAUCUUGACGGUACCUAAUCAGAAAGCCACGGCUAACUACGUGCCAGCAGCCGCGGUAAUACGUAGGUGGCAAGCGUUAUCCGGAAUUAUUGGGCGUAAAGCGCGCGUAGGCGGUUUUUUAAGUCUGAUGUGAAAGCCCACGGCUCAACCGUGGAGGGUCAUUGGAAACUGGAAAACUUGAGUGCAGAAGAGGAAAGUGGAAUUCCAUGUGUAGCGGUGAAAUGCUCAGAGAUAUGGAGGAACACCAGUGGCGAAGGCGACUUUCUGGUCUGUAACUGACGCUGAUGUGCGAAAGCGUGGGGAUCAAACAAGAUUAGAUACCCUGGUAGUCCACGCCGUAAACGAUGAGUGCUAAGUGUUAGGGGGUUUCCGCCCCUUAGUGCUGCAGCUAACGCAUUAAGCACUCCGCCUGGGGAGUACGACCGCAAGGUUGAAACUCAAAGGAAUUGACGGGGACCCGCACAAGCGGUGGAGCAUGUGGUUUAAUUCGAAGCAACGCGAAGAACCUUACCAAAUCUUGACAUCCUUUGACAACUCUAGAGAUAGAGCCUUCCCCUUCGGGGGACAAAGUGACAGGUGGUGCAUGGUUGUCGUCAGCUCGUGUCGUGAGAUGUUGGGUUAAGUCCCGCAACGAGCGCAACCCUUAAGCUUAGUUGCCAUCAUUAAGUUGGGCACUCUAAGUUGACUGCCGGUGACAAACCGGAGGAAGGUGGGGAUGACGUCAAAUCAUCAUGCCCCUUAUGAUUUGGGCUACACACGUGCUACAAUGGACAAUACAAAGGGCAGCGAAACCGCGAGGUCAAGCAAAUCCCAUAAAGUUGUUCUCAGUUCGGAUUGUAGUCUGCAACUCGACUACAUGAAGCUGGAAUCGCUAGUAAUCGUAGAUCAGCAUGCUACGGUGAAUACGUUCCCGGGUCU
rnacentral:rRNA from 1 species